UCCCCCUCUCCCAUACAUGCAAAACCAGGAUGCAGAGGAAUAAAAAAUCCAAUGCAUGGACUUGGUUAUCCUAAACAGCAUCUUUUGCCGCUACAAGACAAGUAAAUCCAAAUAUUUACGUCUAUAAAGUCUUUCUUUCCGACGUAAAUGUUGCAGAAACUUUUCGCAGGCCUGCUGACCCGACAUCAAACGUGCUGCUCACUUUGACUGAUUUCUUCCCUCCGGCUGAACAGACUGUGUUUUCCUCUAAUCUUGAGAAAACAUAUUGGUGUAAGCAGCCUGGUUCAGCACAAUGAUAAUCACUGGGAGGCCUAUCUUGAUUAAUAAAAGGCCUACACUGAGCCAAAGGAGCCAGCAGGAAGAAAGGACCUCCAUUAGCCUCCACUGAUGAUUGAUAUGACAGCAGGUCCAUUCAAACUGCAAAUUUUACACAUGAUUGGGGCUCUAUUGGAUGUAAUGAAAUGGCCUUCCUGAAUAUUGCACUUGAGCGACUGGGUGACCACCAGCACAAUAGCCGCUAUUAUAGUUUUAGGCCUGAACUCAUUUUUCAUUGUACCAGGUCCACCUUGUUAUUACCGCAGAACUCGGAGUGAACCCGCGGCUUUGGUUUCUCGUUGUUGCGGAUGUGGCCGUUCUCUCUGCCGGGAUCAAUUCACCGAGUGUUAAUUGACCACCGCAAUCACUCAGCAGAUUUAUGGGAAGUCUGAGGGGUCACAGGAGACAUCCAGGGGAGGGUGUUCAGGGAGAAAGACCGGCCUAAGAGCGCCGGUUAAGGAUAUCUGGGCUUUCUUAUCACUGAACAGAUUCGUUAACUCUGUCUUUGUAAAAUGAUCACUAAGAGAAGGUAGAGUAAUUAAAAAUAGAUGUUUGAAUGUAAGCUAUUUCCUGUCCGGAUAAGUCCAAAAACAAAAUGAGAACGCGACUCUCGGGGCAACACUCCAAAAACCCACCAACCAACUUAAAUUAUUUUCAUAAAAUAUCAGAAAAUAAAUCAUUUCACGAAAUAUCUUCUUUUGUGACAGGUACAAUGUCAUGUUUCAAAAGUGUCAGUUUUCCUGAAUUGGUUAUGAAAAGUUGUGUUUUGUGGAAUCAUAGAUUUUGUUAUAUAAAUGUCAUGUUCUGUGGGACGCCAUAUUUCACAAAACGUGUCCCAAAAAAAGGUUGAAUUUCCUCAGAUGUGUUCACAGAAAUUUGUGUUUCAUGAAAUGUUGUGGUUUGUUUAAUGUCGUGUUUUAAAAACUGUUUCAAGUUGUGCAAUGCUGGAUGUCUUAUUUUUGUGAAAUGUCAUUUUUCGUCAAAUGUCAUGUUUUCCUGAAAAUGUGUUGUGUUGAAGGACAUGUUGUGCGUUUAUGAAAUGUCAUGUUUUUGUUAGCUUCGGUAUGACGGCAGGUGCCACGCUUUGGGAAAUGUGUUUUUUGUGAAUGUUCUCUUGAUUGUUGUUUUCAGAAGUUUGUUUCUUUCAUUUUUUUAAUGUCAUUUUUUCAUAAUAUGUUUUUUUAAUUAUUAUUUUUUUUAUUGAAUACUGUGUUUUGUUUGCGUUAACUGAAAUGUUGUGACAUUUGUGGACCCUGUAUAACAUUGUAUUUUGACAAACAGCAUGCUCCAAGAUUGUUUCGUGAUGUUUUCUGAAAUAUCAGCUUUUUCCAAAGACCGUGUUUUGCUGAAAUUCUUGUUUUUUGUUUGUUUAUGUUUCCUUUUCAUUUUUUAAAUAAUUGUGACGUGUUUUAGAUCGAUAAUACUUUGCAGUGUUGUGUCUUGAAAUACGUUUUUCUACUGUGAAAUGUGAAGUUGUAUAAAAUGUCGUAGUGUCGGUGAAUUAAUGUCGAUUUUUGUGAUUUUAUACACUGAUGUAUUUUGACCUUUAAGGCCACUAUAGACUCUUACAUGUAGUUUGAUACUCGUUUAAUCUCACCUCUUAUCUUCAUUCACGGUCAUGACCCAGAUGUUGUCCCUUCUUGAGGGGUGGGCUGCUGAUGUGGAGGAGGCGUGGCCACUGGUGUCCAUCUGGCGUAGCAUAAUCAGCUUUAAACAACAGACCUACAGACAGCCAAAAGAUACAAAGCACAUGUGUAAAAACAAAGCUUUAUCUGCUAGCUACUGGAGCUAGCAUGUAGCUGUCUUUGUUUACAUUUGAGAUCUGAUGUGCAAACACUUGAACAUAACAGCGGAGGAGGAGGAUGUAAGAGUUCAGGUUUGGAUCAUUGUGUGGCUUCAGUGCAGUGUGUCAGUGUGUCAGAGUAUUAGUUUGAUUGUGGCCUUGCAUCUGGACACUCUUAAUACGGUUUAAUCCCUUUCUGUCAGCCAACCAGACUUGUCCUCGUGCCAACGCAGCAACCUACAGCGUGUCACUGAUCUUCACACCGAGACAGUCAGGGCUUGAGAAACGUCUUUAAUUAAACUGGAGCGUCUCAUUCAGGUAAGAGGGAGCUUCAUUCUCACAUUAAUGGUAUAUUCAGGGUUUAAUCCAGCCUUAUUAUUAUUGGAUAAUUGUAGAGCUGAAAAACAAUGCAGACGGUUUUGUGAAGGGUGUGUGGAAAGUGCACUUAGCCCUCUAAUAAGCUACAAACACGGGCGUUAUUAUGACUUUAAUGGAUCGUUUUUGUGGACAGGCUGGUUAGGAAAUUGCUCCUGUGGUUUUACAUGAAGCAGUUGAGAAUAAUUGCCUUUCCCAUGCCAAUAAUUUUGUUGUUAUGAUGUGAUAAGCUGUAUCAUUUCUUGUUGAUGAAACAAGUAGCUGUUUUUUUGGGUGCAACUUGCCCAGACCUGAUUAUUUACAAGGCCUGUGCGUCUGUGGAGGAGUCUGAACGCCACGCUCGCUCGUACAGAAAAGCAGCACUAAUGGGUUUGUGUUACAUUGCUAAAUCAAGUCGAGCUGUGAAGCAGCUCCCAGCGAACCUUUAUGAUCCAUUAACCACCAGGCAUUGGUUUUGCCGGAGCGCCUGUGCCAGCUGGCAGGAGCUGACAAGCCUGUAUCAUAAGCAGCGUCUGCCAGCGAUAGCUUGACUGAGGUUUAGAGAAUUCCCCUCCUUCUCUCAAGCUGAUUACACACACGUUGUUUUCUCAUUAGGCCAGGCUCCUCGCGGUCCUGUCUUGUGGAAACGCUUGAUGGGAUGAAGGUGCAGGCAGCGUGUACGACAUGUUAGACUUGAUGUCUGCAGACAGCUCGGGAAGAGAGACAAGUCUGUGGAGCGGUUUGAGUUUGGGUGGAGACAGCAGCAUUUACUGUAGAAGUGCAGACAAAUAUGUACGGACCCCACCCUAAGCUGGUGAUCAACUCUUCUGUCAUCAGUGUCUUUAUCGCGAAGACAGAGAUUGAUAUCCAAGGAUCAGAUUUCUUGGGAUUCCUCUGGCGAAAGAAAAUCCCAUUUUUCAAACAUUUGGAGACCUGAAAGCUUUCUGAAGCGCCGCCCGACUCUUUUAUUGUGUUAUUCAUGAAAACUGGCAGUCCUCUGCAAUAAAGACACACAAAUAAGCCCUCACUGUUCCAGCUCGCCUUUUCUCUCGGCGGCUGUCAGUGCAUGGCUUAUUUUCUGAAAAUGCAUAAUGAAAUUUUUAUGUCUCUUUUUUGCGACCAUGCAGUUACGAAGCUGUUAUUGUUAAAUAUUGCGACCAUAUUCGCCAAGCUCGUCUCCUGAGUGCACUUGUAUCUGAGCGCUUGGUGGAUGACUGAUGUUUCAUGGCUCAUGUUUUAUUAGGGAGCAAAGACGCAGAGAGAGACAGUUUCGAACAAAAGGGCGCUGCAAGAGAGGAAGAAGAAUUUACAGGCUUUUCUUCACGUCGUAAUUGAUAACCAUGUGGAUUCCAGGAAAUCCUGCUUCAUGUUAUCUUUUAUUCCCAAAUCCUUUUCCUUCCUCCAAAGUGAAUCUCAUCUACCUACACACCCACUCUCUCCGAGCUGUGCUAUUUUUUGUGUGUGCAGUCAGAUGGAUUCAGGGGAACUCCGAGCAGAUUUCUAUCAGAUUAAAAACACCAGCGAGCAGGAACAGUGGAGGAGAGGAGAAACCCUUAUCCGGGUCGCAGGUAGAUGAGAUAGGCAAAUCAGAGAGGUCCCCCUCCUCUAGAGAGAGGCACUUUCACUGAGUGAGCGAGAUAUGGGGAGCAGAGGAGGAGCAGAGGGUCACAGUGGGCAUGAGCAAUAAAGGGAAAGAGAGCGACAACAAUAGUUCAAAGCUUCUCCGUUUGCAUUUGAUCCAUUGUCCCUGCUGGUCUUUAGAGACCACCACCAACAAGGCAUCGUCUUACUCAGGCUGACAGGGUUUGUAUGGCUCAGAUGCCCUCAGAGAUUAGGUUCAGGUGGAGCUCAGGGUCAGAGGAGAGAGGGAGGAUCGUGAAUUCAUCAAAGAGGGACUCGAGUAACCCCGCUAUGAGACCUAACCCAGUUUGGAUCGAACAGUUUGGAUAUGGCGUUCACCUGAGAGCCUGGUUAUUCAGCAUAAAUACUUGAUAUUGAACUGUAGAAAUUUAGAGGUCUGUAAAAAAGACACUAACUGCUGUAUUACAUAUCAUCAUGGUGUUGCAGACGUGGGGUUUCCACUAUCUUUAUCUUUAUUUGAACAUGAUAAAAAUAAUGAUGAAGUAAAAUAAAAAACAAAAAACAAGGCUUUAUGAAAAGAAAAUAAUAAUAGUAAUAAUAAAAAAAUAAUAAUAAUAAAAUAAAAUGAGAGACAAACCUAACAGGCAAUAAUCGGCCAAUGUCAUGAUCAUGUUUAAAAAGGAGUAGGGUGAAGUCAAGUUUCGGGGGAAAGGUCACACCUCCACCUCACCUCUUCUGGAUUUCCCCUUAAAAAGUUCCCAAACCAAACUCAAUGAAGUUCAACUAAACUAAAUCAAAAGUUUAAUAUGUUGAUGGAUGUUAGAGACAGUACCAACAGAAGAACGUGUUCUAUAAUAAAAUGUGAAGAUGCUAACACUUAUAAAGAACAAAACUGAGAGGAGAAGCUGCAGGAAAUAUUCAGUAUUUUCCCUCCUGAUAGUCCAGCGUCAGGAUCACCUCACAUAUUGGUGUUUGUUUUAUUACAACAAUAACUUUAGAGAAAAAUGCUGCUACAGAAACUGGAGGAAAUCUUUCCUCCUCUCCUGCUGUCAUGGAUUAAAAGUAAGAACUUUCUUUUCUGACUUUUACAUGAGGAGAUUGAAAAACUGCUGGUUUUACUUUCACUUCAGUAAAAGUCAUAAAUGGAAGCGCACUUAUCCUGAAUAUCUCAGAGCUUUCUCCACUCCUUAAAUCAGGAUGCAAUGUUUGCACACAAAAAGGAGGCCCUACUGUGAGAGAGGAGGACUCUGCGGUGACUGAAAACUUGUCAAACUGAUAAAUUUUGAGUCUUAUCUGCGACGGCGGUUGUUAUUAUGUUCAUUGUUUUGACGGUUUAAAAAAAGCAGUGUGUAAUGAGGGAAGCCAGAUAAGCAAAUGGGUUCUUCUUUAUCUGUUCGGGAUUGUAAAUCCCUCCAAGAGGAUUAUCACAAUGGCCCAUUUUAUUUCCUCACCAGAUUUCCCUCCUGUGUAAUUACCACUCGCCUCUAUCUGUCUCUCCGUGGCAGAAUGGAUGGGUGGAAUAUCUUGAGAAAAAUGUAAAAGCCAAAGAGGGAAACAUCGCAGAGGCGCACCGCAGUGAAUGAGAAUUUGAAGGAUGCUAAUUAAACAAUGUCGUGAUUUAUAGCGGUAACAAAACAUUUACUGUUUCAAUCCCAAAGGCUUGGCUUCCUGGAAAAUGAAGCGCUCGGUCGCAGCUCUGUUGACGUCUUCGCCUCAGCCUCGAGUUAUUACAGGGUUUACAAAGUCAAGACCUCCAGCAUUAUCCAGAGUUUGUCAGGGAAACCACAGGUAUUUAUUUGAACAGAAGAUAAAUAGCUGCCUUUAGGUGUGCUUUUCCAUUUCUCUAUUAUUAGUCCUCCAAAACAAUUCCAGGUAAGAGCGAUCAGUCAGCGAGCGCGGAGUCAAACAGUUUAGAGAGAUUUCUUAUCUAACACAACUCUAAACUUGUUACUGAUGCUAACCUUUGUCUGGUGUCACAGAGACAGACUUCCUAGAAAGCCUCUUUGCACCAACAUGUGCAGGACUCGGCCUCGGAGUUCAUGAAUACACGAACGCACAGAGAUGUUAUCAGGCCUGCGGGAGGAUGUUUGGGGAGUGGGAGGGCUGCGGGGCUUCAGUGUGCUAAUGCAGCUAACAGCCAGGAAGGCAGAGUGUUGACUCUGCAGAUUUAAGCCUGCUACUGAUGGCUACGGGGGCUAAAUACUGACCCCAUGGACUAAUAAAGAAAAUCACCUCAGGCACGAGCCGCGGGGGUCAGAGGUAACGGCGCGGCUGGGAAAAACACAGGCCGUGGCUUUCGAUCACUACGCUGCCUAAUUGGACUGACAGUUGAAGACCGGUGGGGGUAACAGUGUUUAUUUACGUCUUUGUUACGCAGUGAGCAGGCACAAAGAUAUGUUGGCCCGGCCAGGGAUGACAUCGCUCCCGUAUGCUGUCUGGCUCCGGGAUCUUUGCGCGAGUACAAUAAGGACUUCCUGUCUGCCAUCAGAUUCCGCUGCAUUCCACCCAGACCGGGAUGAGCUAAGAGGGGCAGGGGGGGACAGGGGUUUUGUGAAAGAGUAUGAGUCCUAAUCAAACUGACAAUACUGACCUGUUCCCUUCUUCUGACCUCGCUCUGACCCCCAGUCUGCCCUGCGGUCAGACC